rnacentral:misc_RNA from 1 species
AAAAUGCGAUAAGUAAUGUGAAUUGCAGAAUUCAGUGAAUCAUCGAAUCUUUGAACGCACAUUGCGCCCGCCAGUAUUCUGGCGGGCAUGCCUGUUCGAGCGUCAUUUCAACCCUCAAGCCCCCGGGUUUGGUGUUGGGGAUCGGGCUGCGGUUCUACCGCGUCCCGGCCCCGAAAUCUAGUGGCGGUCUCGCUGCAGCCUCCAUUGCGUAGUAGCUAACACCUCGCAACUGGAACGCGGCGCGGCCAAGCCGUUAAACCCCCAACUUCUGAAUGUUGACCUCGGAUCAGGUAGGAAUACCCGCUGAACGUAAGC